GAUGAACGCUGGCGGCGUGCUUAACACAUGCAAGUCGAACGAUGAAAGCGGGAGCUUGCUCCUGCUGGAUUAGUGGCGAACGGGUGAGUAACACGUGAGCAAUCUGCCCCGAACUCUGGGAUAAGCGUUGGAAACGACGUCUAAUACCGGAUACGACGCGCGAAGGCAUCUUCUGCGCGUGGAAAGAAUUUCGGUUCGGGAUGAGCUCGCGGCCUAUCAGCUAGUUGGUGAGGUAACGGCUCACCAAGGCGACGACGGGUAGCCGGCCUGAGAGGGUGAGCGGCCACACUGGGACUGAGACACGGCCCAGACUCCUACGGGAGGCAGCAGUGGGGAAUAUUGCACAAUGGGCGAAAGCCUGAUGCAGCAACGCCGCGUGAGGGACGACGGCCUUCGGGUUGUAAACCUCUUUUAGUAGGGAAGAAGCGAAAGUGACGGUACCUGCAGAAAAAGCACCGGCUAACUACGUGCCAGCCGCCGCGGUAACAC
rnacentral:rRNA from 1 species